ensembl:lncRNA cyclin-dependent kinase 18-like
GAGGAGGAGGAGGAGGAGGAGGAGGAGGAGGAGGAGGAGGGGGAGGAGGCACUGCCAGCCCCCCGGGGACAUGGUGCCCUCUCUCGGGGACAGGGCCCCCACUCUCCUGCAGUUUUCCCAUCACACCAAGGACCCCUGGCCGGUUUCCCUGUGCCCCCUCGCAGGAACCCCCACAGAGGACACCUGGCCCGGGAUAACAUCCAACGAGGAGUUCAAGGCUUACAACUUCAGCCAGUACCGAGCCCAGCCGUUGAUAAAUCACGCCCCGAGGUACCCCCGGAGCAGGGACACUGCAGGAUCGGGGGGGCUGAGGGGUGUGAAGGGAUUCAUUUUCUCCUCCUGGUGCCACACCGGGGUUAUUGCAGCAAAAACCGUGCAGUUUUGGCUUUGUUUCCCCUCUCUCCCAGGCUGGACUCAGAAGGCAUCGACCUGCUGGCAAAUCUCCUCCUGUUCAGCGCCAAGGGCCGGAUCUCAGCCGAGGCAGCCCUGCAGCACCCCUACUUCAGCAGCCUGGGAGAGCGCGUUCACCUCCUGCCCGACAGUGAGUGCUGCCCCCGCCCCCCUGAAACCGGCACAAAAGGCGCCCUCGGGCUCCUCUCUGCUCCCUCAGAGGCGCUUCUGCAGCAGGGUGGGGCCUGUGGGAGGAAAGAGUAAUAAUAAUAACGGUAAUAAUUAAUAAUAAUUGUGGUGGGAUGAGAUGGGGUGGGAGGGGGAGAGGGAAGAGCCCCGCGGAGGUGCCGCUCUCGGGCAGGACUGAGCCCUCUCUCUGCCCCCUCUGCCCAGACGCUUCCAUCUUCUCCCUGAAGGAGAUCCAGCUCCAGAGGGACCCCGGGCACCGAGGCUCAGCCUUCCAGCACUCAGGUAAGGCUGGGCAAAAGCCGGGAUCUCUCCCAGCUGCUGCCGGGGUGGUGCUGGAGCUGGGAAGGAAGGAGCCAGAGCUGCUGCCUGGCACCUCUGCAGUCCCCAAAUCACCCCUGGGCAUCUGCGGUGUCACCUCCAGGGCACAUCUGGGUGUCCUGAGGUGCCAGAUGGGCAUCUCCUCCCCCAGAGCCCCCCUGUGACCCCCCCUGAGCCCUCUCUCCGUGUCCCUUCCCCAGCCCGAGGCAAGAACAGGAGGCAGAGUAUAUUUUAAACUCGGAUCUCGCGUUCCCCUCGUCGCCAUGGAGAUGGAAGCGCUGAGCAAGGAGAGGCUCCCAGCCGACCCUCCGCAGAAUUCCCGGCUCCAGCAGGACGAGGAUUUGGCUGUCCCCAAACCCCUGGGAGCUGUCCUCCAUGGACCUGUGGCCUUGUCCCCCCCUGGUUUUGGUGUUGUCCCCAAGGCGAGGUGCUCCAGGGAGGAGCCGCCGGCCCCUGCGCUGCCCCAGGAGGGUUUGGGGGGCACAGGGCGGGGAUUUGUGGGGUCUGGUCCGGGCAGGAGGUGCUGAAAAUGCACCUUUGCUCAGCCAAGCUGCCCUGAAGCCCCUGGUUUUUGGGGUUAGAACUGCCGGGCACGGCCCAGCCUGGCACUGGGAGCGCCUGGGGCACACCUGGGGCACACCUGGGGCACACCUGGGGCACACCUGGGGCACACCUGGGCACACCUGGGGCACAGGAACCAGGCCAACCCCCCCAAAUUUCCCUCGCCUCUGCCUGC